rnacentral:rRNA from 1 species
UAGCUGUCUUGCACACACAUCAUGGUAAAAUAUUCAUCAGUACAAAUAAUAUGCUGCUGACACUAAAGGACAAAAAGACCCUUUGAAGCUUUAUAGGGAUAAAACUCACCUUUAAAUCAACAAACAAUGAAAUCCAUCUUGUUGCUUCUCCGCUUUUUAAAUUGCUAAAGCCUUACAAGAUUUACAACAUCAAGACCACUGUUUAAUUGGGGCGAUAACCUUAUCCACAGCCACCUAAGGUGAACAAAGCGAUACAAGGAUCCUAAAUACUAAUUUGACCAACUAAUAAGUGCAAAGAUACAUGUUUUGCUUAAUGGCCCAACAAGUCCUUCCCAGUACUUAAAUGCUAUCUUAAUGAGCUUUAAAUUAAUUUACCAG